AUGGAGUUGGGCCUGAGCAGGAUUUUCCUUGUUGCUCUUUUAAAAGAUGUCCAGUGUGAGGUGCAGCUGGUGGAGUCUGGGGGUGGCCUGGUAAAUUCUGGGGGUUCCCUGAAACUCUCCUCUGCAGCCUCUGGAUUCACCUUCAGUGAUUACUGGAUGAUCUGGGUCUGCCAGGCACCCUGCCAGGAGCUAGAAUGGGUUGGAAUAAUUAAAUAUGAUGUCAGUACCAUACACCAUGCAUCGUCCGUGAAGGGCCGAUUCACCAUCUCCAGAGACAAUGCCAAGAACACCUUGUGCCUGCAAAUGAACAGUGUAGAAUCUGAGGGCACCACCACUUACUACUGUACUACAGACACAGUGUGGGGAAUCUCAGUGUGA